GGUGACUGCGUACCUUUUGUAUAAUGGGUCAGCGACUUAUAUUCUGUAGCAAGGUUAACCGUAUAGGGGAGCCGAAGGGAAACCGAGUCUUAACUGGGCGUUAAGUUGCAGGGUAUAGACCCGAAACCCGGUGAUCUAGCCAUGGGCAGGUUGAAGGUUGGGUAACACUAACUGGAGGACCGAACCGACUAAUGUUGAAAAAUUAGCGGAUGACUUGUGGCUGGGGGUGAAAGGCCAAUCAAACCGGGAGAUAGCUGGUUCUCCCCGAAAGCUAUUUAGGUAGCGCCUCGUGAACUCAUCUUCGGGGGUAGAGCACUGUUUCGGCUAGGGGGUCAUCCCGACUUACCAACCCGAUGCAAACUGCGAAUACCGAAGAAUGUUAUCACGGGAGACACACGGCGGGUGCUAACGUCCGUCGUGAAGAGGGAAACAACCCAGACCGCCAGCUAAGGUCCCAAAGUCAUGGUUAAGUGGGAAACGAUGUGGGAAGGCACAGACAGCCAGGAUGUUGGCUUAGAAGCAGCCAUCAUUUAAAGAAAGCGUAAUAGCUCACUGGUCGAGUCGGCCUGCGCGGAAGAUGUAACGGGGCUAAACCAUGCACCGAAGCUGCGGCAGCGACACUAUGUGUUGUUGGGUAGGGGAGCGUUCUGUAAGCCGUUGAAGGUG
rnacentral:rRNA from 1 species